rnacentral:rRNA from 1 species
UACGGAGGGGACUAGCGUUGUUCGGAAUUACUGGGCGUAAAGCGCACGUAGGCGGAUUGCUAAGUCAGGGGUGAAAUCCUGGAGCUCAACUCCAGAACUGCCUUUGAUACUGGCGAUCUCGAGUCCGGGAGAGGUGAGUGGAACUGCGAGUGUAGAGGUGAAAUUCGUAGAUAUUCGCAAGAACACCAGUGGCGGAAGGCGGCUCACUGGCCCGGUACUGACGCUGAGGUGCGAAAGCGUGGGGAGCAAACAGG